GGUCCGCUGGCUCAAUGGCAGAGCGUCUGGCUACGAACCAGGAGGUUCCAGGUUCCACGCCUGGUUGGAUCG
rnacentral:tRNA from 1 species